GUCGGGAUAGCUCAGUUGGUAGAGCAGAGGACUGAAAAUU
rnacentral:tRNA from 14 species